CUACAUUUCUCCCAGUGAAUCUGAUUGUGAAACCCCACUAUGACCUUGGUGGGAGUAGGGGAAGGAUGAAAGUAGAUUACAUAUUUUCUGCACUCCCACAAUGUUAUACUAAAACUCUAAGUGGUGUGGUGAACAUGAACAGAAAAAUAGAUUAACGUUAGAGUGGGUUUUCCUAGAGUGGGGAAUGGCAUACUUGGGGAGAGGGAGUUUAGAAUGAAAGGUGUGUAGUAUGCAUAACUGCCCUCACUACAUAAGCCCACAUUUUUAUCUGCAUUGCACCCAGACCUCAGAAAAUAGCCAGCAGUCCUGCUAACAGAGAGAUUUUUGUAGUCCCAAAAAGGAACCUUUUUGGCCUUUUGCUUUACCCUAUGAGACUGGCCCUGAUGUAUAAUACGAAGAAUGGAUGUUGAAGCAGCAGCAUGGGAGGAUAGAGGAAGACCAAGUGUUUGGUCUAUGGAUCAUAAUCACUGAAACAAAGACACAGCAUUGUUUCAAUUCCCAAUGUACAGCCCUGGCAAUCAGAUUUAGAAUGAUGACAGAAACACAGUUUCAAAACAUAAGAAGAACCCAACAUCAUGUUAUGUGCAGGUGGGUGUCAUGUUAGCGUGAUAAUAAUUUGUUUCAGUUUUAUUGAAAGAGUCAUUUGUAGAGGGGACUGGGAGGGGGAAAAAUAGGGUUAUACAUGC
ensembl:lncRNA